CAAGUCGAACGAGAAAGUGGAGCAAUCCAUGUGUACAGUGGCGUACGGGUGAGUAACACGUGGGUAAUCUACCUUUUAGUGUGGAAUAACCCUGGGAAACCGGGGCUAAUACCGCAUAAGCUCGAGAGAGGAAAGUCGCAAGACGCUGAAAGAGGAGCCCGCGGCCGAUUAGCUAGUUGGCAGGGUAAGAGCCUACCAAGGCAGAGAUCGGUAGCCGGCCUGAGAGGGCACACGGCCACACUGGCACUGAAACACGGGCCAGACUCCUACGGGAGGCAGCAGUGGGGAAUCUUGCACAAUGGGGGAAACCCUGAUGCAGCGACGCCGCGUGAGCGAUGAAGCCCUUCGGGGUGUAAAGCUCUUUCGGCAGGGAAGAUUAUGACGGUACCUGCAGAAGCAGCUGCGGCUAACUACGUGCCAGCAGCCGCGGUAAUACGUAGGCAGCGAGCGUUGUUCGGAGUUACUGGGCGUAAAGGGUGUGUAGGCGGUUGUUUAAGUUUGGNUGUGAAAUCUCCCGGCUCAACUGGGAGGGUGCGCCGAAUACUGAAUGACUAGAGUGCGGGAGAGGAAAGUGGAAUUCCUGGUGUAGCGGUGAAAUGCGUAGAUAUCAGGAGGAACACCGGUGGUGUAGACGGCUUUCUGGACCGUAACUGACGCUGAAACACGAAAGCGUGGGUAGCAAACAGGAUUAGAUACCCUGGUAGUCCACGCCCUAAACGAUGCAUAUUUGGUGUGGGCAGUUCAUUCUGUCCGUGCCGGAGCUAACGCGUUAAAUAUGCCGCCUGGGGAGUACAGUCGCAAGGCUGAAACUCAAA
rnacentral:rRNA from 1 species